rnacentral:lncRNA from 1 species
GCAGUUAAAUGUGUCAGACUAGUAAAAUUGUCUUGUAGCGUUCAACGGAAGCUCUCGAAUAAAAUACUCAGUUGGACUUAUAUUAGUUGAGUUGAAUGUGCUAAGAAUUUAAGAGAGAUAUAAAUCAUUAAUUAUCAUUCCCCUGUAUACCUAUACCAGUAUUCAGUACCGGUACCCAGCAUUUAUCUGCAAAAUCAUUUGAUGCUGAUUCUGCUCCGGUUGCUCUGCAUGCCAGUCCGGCUUAUCCACAACAACUACUGCUCACACCUGCGCAUGUUAAUAAAUUCCAGCCGAUUGUUAUCAUUAAUACCGAAUAACAAACUGAUGAUCAGACACAUUAGGUAAUGGCAAACCGUAGCAUCAAGUCCCAUCGCACCUCGCCGCAUUUAAUAGUAUGUACAUACACUCUUUGGCGACGAUGGACACUGGACUGUGAUAGCAAACCCGCAAAAUCCCUGGGCUCGUGUCGCGUCUGUGUUAUUACACACACAUACAUACACAUAUGUGUGAUGUGUAAUGUAGAUAUGUGUUCAAGAGUAUGAGUCUAUCAGACAUACAGAUAUACAGAUAUACAAAUAUAUAAGCAUGGAUAGAACAUAUAAGCGAGUGGAACUAGUCGUUGUUGUCGGUAGUUAUACUCUAUCGUCCGGUGAUAAAAGUCGAUGGGGAUAAUAAUGCGUUGAUACUGGUAUAUGGUGUCGGUGCAUACAGAAGAGAGACAGAAUGCCUUCUGGCAGUACAUAUGUGUAUGUAGGUAGAUGCUCUGAUACUGGUGGUGGGUCUGGUUAUGCGUUUUAUGUUGUAUAUAGUACAGGGUCUCGCGUGCACCAGUAUGAGUAAAAUAAAACACGAUUUGUGGAGUAGUAUAGUCUGGCCCGCGUCCGCUUGUCUGACUGUCAGUGGGUCGUUGAACCCCCCUUGCCUCGCUGUCCACCGCCGUCAUUGCGAGGCCGUUGUUGCUUUUAAGUGUAAGCCAGCAGCCGUCCAGAGGAGAGUUAACUUGCUCAAUCAUAUAUGAUGUCGAAUUGACACGAUAGCCUUGUCAAGGUCAUGUGGAUGUUUCUCUGGAAGUAACCGUGGAAAAAGACGAGGGAUAUUAAAGAGAACAGUGAAAAGCGAGAAGAAAGAUAAGGAUAAGUGGUGGUGAGCUUAGAAGAAGACGGAGCUGGAGAUGGCGAAGGUGUUUGACAAAGAGGGGUGUAUCAGUGUGGAGUUAACACCGAUGGAGAUCCAGUGAGAGAGUGUGCGCAAAAUUCUACCUAUAUAUCCGUACCAAAUUCACCAUAUCAGGAACGACGUCGUCGCGCACGUUGGAGGGGGCGUCUAGACGCAACGUCACGAGUACGUAGCAGCGGCUUCCCCCUUUGGCCACCACACCGCAGAUGAGUAUGAGCAAAAGAGACCAGAUAGAGACAGAGAGCUAGAGGAAGAGGAAGAGAUACACGUACAGUUCAACCAAAGGUUUCAAUCCUCCUUCCACCCGAGUAGAGAUGAGAGCCGAGCUGAGAUACUGAGUCAGUUACAGCCGGGCAUCACUUCACGAUUCAGGAUACCAACAGCUCCGCCGCUGGCUAACGGAUAAAUCUCCGGGUCCAGCUCCAGCUUUACAUCCAGAUUCACCCGCUCCACGGAUUAACUUUACAUUCAUUAUUUAAGCGUUUAAUAACGCCCAAUUUUUAUUCACUCGCUUAGUGUAAUCUAGAUUACACUAAUUAUGCAAUGGUUUUUGUCAUUUAACCACACAAGAGGUCGUCGGGAAUUUUUAGUUUAUUUAAUUAUUUG